UACGAAGGGGGGCUAGCGUUGCUCGGAAUCACUGGGCGUAAAGGGCGCGUAGGUGGUGGCUUAAGCGUGCGGUGAAAGCUCGGGGCUCAACUCCGAGUCGGCCGUGCGAACUGGGCUCACUGGAGCAUAGUAGAGGCAGGUGGAAUUCCGGGUGUAGCGGUGGAAUGCGUAGAGAUCCGGAAGAACACCGGUGGCGAAGGCGGUCUGCUGGGGGUGAGGCUGGACGCUGAUGCGCGACAGCGUGGGGGAGCAAACAGG
rnacentral:rRNA from 1 species